UACGUAGGGGGCAAGCGUUGUCCGGAUUCAUUGGGCGUAAAGAGCGUGUAGGCGGCCAGGUAGGUCGGUUGUGAAAACUGGAGGCUCAACCUCCAGACGUCGACGGAAACCGUGUGGCUAGAGUCCGGAAGAGGAGAGUGGAAUUCCUGGUGUAGCGGUGAAAUGCGCAGAUAUCAGGAAGAACACCAAUGGCGAAGGCAGCUCUCUGGGACGGUACUGACGCUAAGGCGCGAAAGCGUGGGGAGCGAACAGG
rnacentral:rRNA from 1 species